CCUACGGGCGGCUGCAGUGGGGAACAUUGCACAAUGGGCGCAAGCCUGAUGCAGCCAUGCCGCGUGUGUGAAGAAGGCCUUCGGGUUGUAAAGCACUUUCAGCGGGGAGGAAGGCGGUGAGGUUAAUAACCUCAUCGAUUGACGUUACCCGCAGAAGAAGCACCGGCUAACUCCGUGCCAGCAGCCGCGGUAAUACGGAGGGUGCAAGCGUUAAUCGGAAUUACUGGGCGUAAAGCGCACGCAGGCGGUCUGUCAAGUCGGAUGUGAAAUCCCCGGGCUCAACCUGGGAACUGCAUUCGAAACUGGCAGGCUAGAGUCUUGUAGAGGGGGGUAGAAUGCCAGGUGUAGCGGUGAAAUGCGUAGAGAUCUGGAGGAAUACCGGUGGCGAAGGCGGCCCCCUGGACAAAGACUGACGCUCAGGUGCGAAAGCGUGGGGAGCAAACAGGAUUAGAUACCCUUGUAGUC
rnacentral:rRNA from 1 species